CAGAACCAUCUUCUGUUCAGGAGUCCGGAUACAAAAAGAGACCACUAACUACUAUCUCUGUCUGCAGCAAAAACGUGCUAUUCCAUACUGUCACACACUUAAGUGCAACCCAGCUGAUUUGCUGGAUCUCUAGGAUUAGGAUUGAGGGGACACCGUUGUAGAUGGGAGGUCUUGUAUAUCUGUUGCUGUGAGGGCACUGUGGAUUGUCAACUGAGAGAAGAGAUGGGUGUGAGCUGAAGCCUGAUUGAAACACAUCUCAUCAUGUGAAACAACAGCCAAUCAUAAUCUCAUCAUCUACAUCACAAUCAAUUGUUUGGUCAAUGAAAAGCGGACAAGUUGAUCGUGGAAAGCAAAACCUAAACAAAUGUUGGAGUGAUGUAGGCAGUGCAGCUCAUCUGGAAGAGGGAUACUGGGAACUAAGUGAAUAAUUGCUUUCAGAGAGGCCCAUACCCCCAGCAGCCCACUGUAGACAGACUGCUGGGUCUGCUUUUCAGCAUGCAGCAGAAUGACAAAAAAAAGGAAACUUGGAGAUGUCAUCUGCUUUCAGGCUUAAGUGUGAUCCCUUCUAAAUGUUUUUACCAGAAAGAAACCCACAGGGAUUCGAGAACUAGCUUUCUAAGGAGUCUCAGGGAGGUAUUGAGAAAACUUGCGGCUUCUCACAUUUCACUUUUCCCAAAGAGACGAACAAAUAGCUGAAUUCAGUAAACAGCUAUGUGUGAAUUUGAAGGGAUUUUGAGGUGUAACAGAAUUUGCACACUAAUUUAUUAUUUAGCUAGAAUUUGGUAAGGAGCAAAAGAAAUACAGUGGAAAAAUAAAUCUGGGGAUUGAGCAACCAA